rnacentral:rRNA from 1 species
ACUCAAAGGAAUUGACGGGGACUUGCACAAGCGGUGGAUCAUGCGGCUCAAUUCGAUGAUAAACGAAGAACCUCACCAGGGUUUGAAACGGAGACGACCGCCUAGGAAACUAGGCUUUCGCAAGACGGCUCCGCAGGUGAUGCAUGGUCGUCGUCAGUUCGUGGCUUGAGUUGUUCCCUUCAGUGGGGUAACGAACGCAACCCGCGUUGCCUGUUUUAUAUGUCAGGCGAGACUGCCCCCUCACGGGGGAGGAAGGUGCGGAUGAUGCCAGAUCAGCAUGUCCCUCUGAUAUCCUGGGCUGCACGCAUGAUACAAUGCACUCGACAACGAGACGCAAUGGGGCAACCCGGAGCAAAUCUGUAAACGAGUGCUCAGUUCGGAUUGAGGUCUGCAACUCGACCUCAUGAAGCUGGAAUCGCUAGUAAUCGCGGGUCAGCUAUACCGCGGUGAAUACGUUCUCAAGUCUUGUACACACCGCCCGU